UUAAAAGAAAAAAAAAGAAAUUUGACAGGGAGGGGAAGAAGGAGAAUAAGAGGGUUUCCCCACGUAUAAAGCCCCUGCAGGCCUGAAGGAAAUAUACAGCUGCUUCCGCGUUCUGAUUCGAGCUGUUAGCAGGGAUUCCAGAAAUUCAGUUGCUAACAGCAGCAAUGGAAGUCUUGUCUGUUCAGCCUCCCACAUCUGCUCCUGGGCUCCAGAAGACAGAGAGGAGCCCGGCCUGGGGCCCUCCUGACAGAUGGCAGCUCUGCUCCCUGUGGGUGACUUCGCUGGAGUAAUUACGACUGAUGAGGGGGCAGGGAAGCCCCCUUGCUGAAGAUCAUUAGCCAGGAUGAAUAAACUGAGCCCUGCUUGAGGGCUGGGAGAACAUGAAAUAUGAACACUAGUGGCUGCUGCUCAUGGAGCACCUACACUACAAUGGCCCCGAGCAUCCAAAGACAAAUAAGACCAUCCCUCACUGAGGAGCUCACAGUCUAGAGGAAAAACAAAAAGAGACGUCAAUAGUAAUUAUUCCACCAAAUGGGAAAUUCCUUCACAGAAGUGGGUAGUCACCUGGAUGAAUUUUUUUAGUUUACUUCUUUUCCCAUGUUCUUGGGAUCCUAAAGGGCCAUAAAGGCCAUGGAUAAAUAAUAAAAUAUUUUAAGGUAAAGGAAGAAAGACGUAAUAAGCUCAAGAAAGAAAACGGAGAAAAGGGAAUUAUAUAUCUACGUGUUAGAAUAAGAAUCCCAAAACUAAGCUAAGAGGAUACAAUGGGGCACCUGUCACAGCCACUCAGGUCCUAGGAGGGUUGGCUGCCAAUGACCAGGGCUCCCUUCCACAGCUCAAAAACACUUAUGGCGGCUAAGAGAUCACUCAAAUCAGAUAUCCACCUUCCUUAUUUGACAAGAGAUCUACGACUCACCUCAUGUCUUCCCAACAUUGGUCUCAAAAAGUCAUCAGGCCUCUCCAUUGCAAUAAUCUUUCCCCUUGAAAUGUAAAACUAGAUGUAGAGCAAUUCGAUGCUCAGACCAGCUCCUAGAAGGAUCUGCAGAGAUUGGAGGGUCACCUCCCAGGAUGGCACAGGAGGAUUCCUGCAGAGAAUAAGUCAGAUAAUUAAAUAAUCUAUAUGGUUCAACUUCACCCUGAGGGUCCUAUGUUACGUAAAGUGAUGCCAGAUUUAAAAAAAAAAAAAAAAAAAAAAGAUGAGAAGAAAUCCAAUUAAGGCUUUGAAGUUAUUGGAAGACAACAAAGGACUAACAAUGAAAAGGAUCAAGGUAGGAACUGGAGCCUGCCAGCAUCUCGGAGGAAGGUGAUAUGGCUGGCAGCUGCCUCCUUCCCUGCAUCCUGGGGGCCAUUCCAACUGGGAAGAGGCUCCAGAGUCUCAGCUGCUCAGCAUAAAUAAUGCUGAAGAACUCUGCAUUUAAGUGUAAGUCUUGGCCCUUCUAGGGAAUAUUUAAAUUUUGAAAGAACAUUUUUUACCCUGAUGAGUCUAUAAUUGGUUGAAUUGUGGGAACAAUAUUUUAACUAUGAGAAGGGUGGAUCUUUGUAGUUUCUCCUGCCUCCUCCACACUGCUGCUACAGGCACUUCCCCUCAUCAUAGAAGAGGGCUAUAACACUGGCCCUCACUUCUGUAAGUGUGCUAACCCUGCCCAGAAGUCACGUGUUGCACAUAAGGCAACUCAAAGAAAGAGCCCAGGCCCUUGAGGUAUGACUGCACCAAGUGACUCGUCUCUUCAGACUCAGAAGAGGCUUAACCCCACCUCUAUGGAUGCCAAGAGUUGUCUUGACCCAAGAAACUCUGCUUCCUGAAGCUCCAAGUUCCCACCAGGACCAUGGAAUUUUCUCUCUCCAAUUCAGACGACAACAUCAGAACAAAGUGUAUCUCUUCCCAUUUUCAAGUGAAAUCCUCAGUUCAAGGAAUUGAGGCUUAUCACCUCCCCAAGAUAGACUUGACUGACAUCACUACAUUUCACUCAGUACUCUUGAAAUACCAGUGUCAUGGGCAGCAGGCAGUUCACCGGCUGCCUCACAUCUGCCUGAAUCCAAAGCUGACAAGCUCAAACUGGGCUCUUCCCAGUUACCAGUCACUCUGAAGCUUUUCACUUUCCUUUGGAUGUUUUCUUUCCUCCCACCCUGAACAACACAAUAUGCACCUGCAAGCAACCGCUGCAUCCUGGCCCCUCUCCCAUUUCAGCCAUCCAGCAUGGAGCAGGUGUGAAGGUUGGAUAUGGUAGAGAGGAGACGGGAGGAACAGAGAGGACUUGAAGACGGGGAGGAAAAGAGGGGAGGAAGAGAAAAGAGGAGUACAUAAAGAAAACCAAGAGGAUGCCAACAGAAGACUCUGAAUCCACAGGGCAGUGGCACCUGGCACUAGCUGUGUGUCUCAGAAGCAUGGAUCCUAAGGGAAGUUUCUCUGUUGUAGGCUGAAGCACUCACUUGUCGCUGUAUCAUGAGGGACAAGCUGUUCUCAACUCAUAUUCCAGCCAAGCAGCUCAGAACUAAGGAAUGUGGUAUUUUAUUGUCCUGGAACCUUGGGAAAUCUGUCCUUAAAGAAGCUUCCCAUUUCUUCCUGACCAAACCUUGCUGAGGUUUGGCAUCUGGAAGGAUGGCCAGGAGUGCUCAGCGGCCACUGUAUUCCCCACCCCAGAACCCUGGACAGCUCCCCGAACCUGGACAGCUCCCCACAGCCCAUGCCGCCCCUGCGGCCCAUCCCUUUCAGAGAUUUCCAACAAAGCUACGCAGUUUGCCUCUCUUGGAUUCCAG
ensembl:lncRNA